GCUUGUCUCAAAGAUUAAGCCAUGCAUGUCUAAGUAUAAGCACCCUUAUACGUCGAAACUGCGUACAGCUCAUUAUAUCAGCAAUUAUUUAUUUGAAGGUCACUAAUUACAUGGAUAACCGUGGUAAUUCUAGAGCUAAUACAUGCGAAAAAUCCCGGCGCAAGUCGGGAUGUAUUUAUUAGAUAAAGCCAACGCUGGGUAAAACCAGUUUCCCUUGGUGAUUCAUAAUAAUUAAGCGGAUCGCAUGGCCUUGUGCUAGCGACAGUCCACUCGAUUUUCUGCCCUAUCAUGGUUGAGAUUGUAAGAUAGAGGCUUACAAUGCCUACAACGGGUAACGGGGAAUUAGGGUUCGAUUCCGGAGAGGGAGCCUGAGAAACGGCUACCACAUCCAAGGAGGCAGCAGG
rnacentral:rRNA from 1 species